GAAACUUGAUGAAUUUCAAAACGAGGCUACAACAACAAUUUGUUUUCAAAUUCAAACAAAGACAAAGUAAGGACAUUAAUUAUGCACAUCAUAGAAGACAACUCGCAUAGUGAAAAACUGACACUUAAUUUUUGUGUGAUGACAAUUAGCUGAUAAGAUUGUAUACAUGAAAAACAGUCGACAGAAAACACCAUUUGGACUUAAAAGAAUGAUAAGUGCAUCAAAUUAAGUUUCAAGAAAAAAAAACAAGUUGAACCUCAAAACAAGUUUGACAUAGUGUCUUCGUAGAUGAAAAUAAUCAGGAUCCAGUGGUGGACGUUUAGUAUACCAGAAUUAUUCACACGGAGGAGUAUAUCUCCAAAUUUAAUACUUUUAAGUUAGUUUUGAAAGAAUAAAGAUUCAAAAUUACUUACUUUCUUUUAAUGUGAAUAUUUAUUUAUUGUUUUGUGUGUUACACUUAAUUUUGACAGAAGGGAAUAUUUUCCCUCACUAAUCCGAUUUGUUACCGAUGAAAUCAACUGCUAAAGAAAGCUUUAUAUUGCCAUGAUUUCCAUUUUCUAUGAGUUAUUUAAAAGAAAACCUUUUUAAGCAUGCUGUAAACAUGAAUACUUUAAUUGACAUAUAUUGUAAUAGUGUAUAUUAGUUAAUGUAUACUGUAGACUUUUAAAUGAAAAUGAUUUGUUGACUGUUGUUUGUUAUAAUUUUGGAUUACAAAAUGUGUAUUAUUGUAUUGACUGAAAGAGGUCUGAUAAAUGUUGAACUUCAAUUUUGAAAAGACAUGUAGCUCUUAUUUUUAUAUACAAUUUAUAAAUAUCAAACUUUAUUUUAUUAUCACUAUAAAUGAUUAAAAGUGAG